GGAUGCGAGCAUACCAACUCACAUACACCGGAUCCCAUUAGAACUCUGAAAUUAACCGAGUUUGGUCAAGAGAAGUACUAGGAUGGGUGAAUUCAUGGGAAGUCCUCGUGUUGCAUCCCCCCGCCUUUUUUUUUAUUUUUCGUAAUUCUUUUCUGCGUAUUUCUAGCGGUUAAUUUCUGGCGCGCGUCGUUUAGAACUGAGUCCCGUGCUUAGGAGAUAAAAGAAAGGAACGAGAAGGACUGUUAAUUCUAUCUUUUUUAAUUUUGAGGGAUCGUCUUGAUUAAUGUUUCUUGGGAGAUGAAAAAAUCUAUUAAUUCUAUAUUUUAAAUUUCGUGCUAAUGUUUCAAGCCGAUGUGAUUUGCGCAUGCGUAAAGGUUAAGGGGUCAUGGCCAAAGAAACAGUUAUUAAAAGUCAUAAACUAACGGAUGCGAUCAUACAAACUCACAUGCACCGAAUCCCAUCAGAACUCCGAAGUUAAGCGAGUUUGGGCGAGAGAAGUAUUAGGAUGGCUGACCUCCCGAGAAGUCCUUGUGUUGCAUCCC
rnacentral:sRNA from 1 species